AACGCACAUUGCGCCCUCUGGUAUUCCGGGGGGCAUGCCUGUUCGAGCGUCAUUAUAACCACUCAAGCUCUCGCUUGGUAUUGGGGUUCGCGGUUUCGCGGCCCCUAAAAUCAGUGGCGGUGCCUGUCGGCUCUACGCGUAGUAAUACUCCUCGCGAUUGAGUCCGGUAGGUCUACUUGCCAGCAACCCCUAAUUUUUUUUUAAGGUUGACCUCGGAUCAGGUAGGGAUACCCGCUGAACUUAA
rnacentral:misc_RNA from 1 species